CCUACGGGAGGCAGCAGUGGGGAAUAUUGGGCAAUGGGCGCAAGCCUGACCCAGCAACGCCGCGUGAAGGAAGAAGGCUUUCGGGUUGUAAACUUCUUUUGUCAGGGAAGAGUAGAAGACGGUACCUGACGAAUAAGCCACGGCUCACUACGUGCCAGCAGCCGCGGCAAUACGUAGGUGGCAAGCGUUGUCCGGAUUUACUGGGUCUAAAGGGCGUGUAGCCGGGUUGACAAGUCAGAUGUGAAAUCCUGCGGCUUAACCGCAGAACUGCAGUUGAAACUGUUGAUCGUGAGUACGGGAGAGGCAGACGGAAUUCCUGGUGUAGCGGUGAAAUGCGUAGAUAUUAGGAGGAACGCCAGUGGCGAAGGCGGUCUGCUGGACAGCAACUGACGGUGAGGCGCGAAGGCGUGGGGAGCAAACAGGAUUAGAUACCCGUGUAGUC
rnacentral:rRNA from 1 species